rnacentral:lncRNA from 1 species
UUGCUUAGCCCAAAACAUGAUCUCUAAGUGUGCAUGGCAGUAGGAACAUGAUUGCAGAAACAUUGAUUAUCAACACAUUUAAUACAGGAAUUUCUAAGUGAUGUGAUAGUAAAAAAUGGGCAUGCUGAAAACAAUGUGUAAAUCCUAAGAAACAUGAUUUCUAAUGCAUGAAAUGAGUCCUAAGAAUGGAAACUAUUGCGCAAGCAGGAAUGUAACCAAGUAACAUGUGUUCUACCCUUUUAAUAGCUAAAACAUGCAUAUUUUUCAGCCAUUUUCACUAGCCAAAC